GUGUACAAUUCCUCCAAAAAUAAUAAAAAGUGAACUCCUCUAUUCAUUUUUUUACAAAGUGAACUCCUUUAUUUUGCAAAGUGCACCGCAAAAGUUUUCUUAAUGAGCUGCGUCGAUUUUAACAAAUUAUACACCAUGUCCUUACAAAUUUGCCCAAAAAGAAAAUCCUCCAAAAAUAAUAAAAAAUACACUCCUCUAUACAUUUUUUACAAACUGAACUCCUUUGUUUUCCAAUGUGCACUGCAAAGGUUAACCACCGUGUUCAUGUUUUGUCUAAACUCCCUUCCCCUUCUCAGGUGACAACACUACCCGGUCUGAAGAACUCCUUGUAUUAUUACCUAUUCUCCGAUAGCAAGAUGCAAUCAGUUCCAUUUGUUUCUAGUCUAGCUGUAGAAAACAUAGGCACAAAAAUUCUAGAUGAUGGCAUUAAUAGAGUAUGUGAGCAUCAAAUCUGAAAAACUAAAAGAUGGUAACUUUGGCAAGAAACAAAAUAGGAAGAUGUCCAAGGAGCUCACCCAAGACCGAGCUUUUGUUGUCAUCGUCCCGGAAUACACCUGCAAACUACGCGGAAAAGAGCACCGAGUUGCACCACUUGGACAUGGGUGUGGCCUUGUACUUCUUUCCCGUGCCAUCGGAACCGCGUGCAAUGAGCUAGUGAGCUGCAUGUUUUGCUGUCGGAACCGCGUGCAAUGAGCUAGUGAGCUGCUUGUUCUGCGAACGCUGGACUACACCACUUGGAUGCAGGCAUGGCCACACCAUGAACCAGCAAGUUGCACGGCUACGUUGCUGCCGGUGUUGUUCCUAUAGCAGAUGAGGAGCGGACCACAUUGACUGGGGCAAGGCAGCAUGGCUCGAGCAGCGGCUUGCCUCCAUGUCGAGCAGCCGGUUUGUAUUUCUCGGCAGGUACCUCAGCAGACGAUGCACGGCAGUGAUGGCAACAACCACUCCUCAUUCAAAGGGACAUGGCUACCAGCUGCUUCUAGAGGACACCCAGGAGAGCAGUUCGCCCAGCAUCAUCAUGCGGUGCACUCGUUCGGGUGCUGAAGUGCCCAGGAGAGAAAAAUAUAUCUUCACAGAGGCAGAAUAAAGCAAAACUUUAAUAGUAAAAAUGAACUACGUGGGUUAUUGGGAGUACACUGAACACCCAAAACCUCUGAACUUCGCUGGGAGAACCCAGUCAGCUGCACGAUUGAGGCAUAAAAAUGCACCAAAAAUGCAGGGGUCGGCCAAGUGCAUGUUGUUUUUCACUGUUGAAUUGAACGUGUAGUGGCACCAGACUGCAAAACGGGACGAGAUGCUGACAGUGGUGCUGAAAUGCAUGAUGCGCAGUGCAAACCGAGACACACAGCCAUCCAAACUGAAGAAAAAAAGAAAAAAGAACAGCAAGCUCGGCUGGCCGGCAGUCUCUUGCACCCACCCAGUGACGAAUUGUGCACCCACUCAAGCGGACUGCAGGCCGCAGCAAGCCGAGCUGCAACCUGAGUCGCGACGAGCUGCACGGUGAGCCAAAACGAGCUGCAUGCCAUGCUCGUCUGCGUCUUGAUUCUGGGCAGGCGACCACCAAACUCGGCAAAGGCCAAGAUGACAUCGUGCGUCGGGCUCCUCACUGGGUUCCGCAUCUGCGGCGGCGGCGACGGCGCCCUGGCUUGAGGCAACAGGGCUGGCGACCACCUGCAGGGAGUUAUGUACUACUUCAAUCACCAUCAAUGACAUCCAUGGCCAGGGGGGCUGGUGGUUUCCGAAGACAUGCAACAGAGAACAGGUAAUGGUGGAUCUCACCUGAUUCAUGGCGGGGCCGGCCUGUGGUGGCCCGGGCCUCUUGGAUCUCGAUGCCGGGGAGGCCGUGCUGCUUCGAUCCAUCUUUGUGGUAGUUAGCAUCCGCCGCAGUGGCGGGCCCUUUCGUGGUAGCUGUCGCAUCUGCCUCUCUUGGCAUAGGUAGGUGGAGGCGCUUCCCGCGGCGGGGCAUCAUGCGGGUCCGCAGCAGCCUGGAUCCGGCCCUCCUCAUCAGCGAGCGACGGGAUCGAGCAGCAUGGUGCCACGGUUGGCCGGUGGCCAGCGAGGAAAGAAUGAGUGGACGCGGGACGUGACGCGAGGAAGGAGGUGGUUGGGGGCGGCCGGGUCCGAUUCGGCGGGGAGAGGCUUGGGGAGGAUGCUGCAGGGAGAGCCUUGGUGGUGGUUGUGCAGCAGCAUAGGGAGGGAGGUGGUCUGGCGCCGAUGGGCGGGUGGUGGUUCGACGGUGCGGGGAAGGGUUGUAGCUAUGGUGGUUUGGGGUGUUAGCAGAAUAAGCCGGACUAUUAUCAGAAUAAGGUCGUAACGGGUGUUGUUAGAAUAGACCCACCAUAUAUAUAUAGGACAACACUAUUCUGAUCCUGGGAUCAGACUAGUUAGUUGGAUCACGGCUUGCCCUAUAUAGCGCCGAUUAGAUGUUCCCAAGUUCCCAAACAUGCUGGAACGAAGAAAAAAAUCCCCACGACCCACCUCCCACAGGCCACGGUCCCUCGAUCCCCACCUCCCGCAGUCCCUCGAUCCACUCCACCCCGGCCCAUUGGCGCCUCCCCCCACCAGCCCGCCACCGCCUACUGUAAUCCCGCGCACCGCUCCGCCGGCCCGGAUCCGGCCGCCGCCCCCGCCCCCUACCCUAUCUCCUACCUGCGCUGCCGCCUUGCGCUCUACCGCCAAUCGUGCUCGUCGUCGUUGGUUGCUCGCCCAUUCCCUAACCGGUGGCGCCGCGCCCGCCCCACCACCAACAGGCGCCGCCGCCGCCCCGUCCUAAAAUAGGAGACGAUGUCGCCGCCCUCCGGAUCCCGUGCGGCCAUGCCACCAACCACCGAAUCCCGCGGCCACGGCCUGGCUCCCAACCGCCGGAUCUCGCCCUCGGCUGAGAUGGGAGCCCUACCCCACCAACCGCCGGAUCCAGCGCCACCUUAACCCACCCCCAGCUUCUCUGUGCCUCAUCCCGCGCGCGCCCAGGUUCCAUGCCGCCGGCCCCCUGGAUCCCUCUGAAGAGAUAGGCAUGUGACGAGCGCCGUCGUUCAUGCUCCUGCGCGCCACCACAGCGGGUCUGUGGUCAUCUCCGUUGCUGCCGUGGAAGGAGCUCCGCCAUGGACGCCCCCAUGCAUCCACCCCCGUGGUACAAUAUCUGGGCAGCCACAUCCCCGGGAGCCACCUCACCCUAUCCCUGCCGCCAUUCCAUGCGGCAUCGUGCAUGCCUGCUUCUUGUCUCUGUCUGGCCUCGGCAGCCACUUCAGUUAGAUUUUGCGAACCACCAUUUCAGCAGGCCAAAUGUGUAUAUAUUCAGCAGGCCAACUUGUAUAUAUUCCGCAGGCCAAUUUGUUGAUUGACCAAAAUUGUGUGUUGAAAACUAGUAGAGCAAUGUUGAUAUUUUCAGCAGACUAAUCUGUUUAUGAGCCUAUCAGUAGGGAUGCCCUAGCGCUACAAAACAUGUGUAUUUUAAGGUUGCCAUGCGGAAAAAAUUCAGUGAUACAAGCAUGUUCUUUGUGGUCGUCAAGAAAACUAUGGAGGGGGGCACCGCACAUGGAUAAAGAUCAACUUGUGUGUCUAUGGGCUGCCCCCUCCCCCAUAUAUAAAGGAGGGGAGGAGGAGGAGGGCCGGCCUCAAGGGGCGCGCCCAAGGGGGGAUUCCUACUCCUAGUAGGAGUACGUUUCCCCCUUUCCUAGUCCAAGCAGGAGACGAAGGAAGGAGAGGAAGAAGAGAAGGAAAGGGAGGCCGGGCCCCCUAGCCCUAGUCCAAUUCGGUUUGGGCUAGGGGGUGCGCCACCUCUUGGCAUGCCUCCUCUCUUCCACCAGUAGGCCCAUAAGGCCCAAUAACUUCCCGGAGGGGUUCCGGUAACCCCUGGUACUCCGAAACUUAUCCGAAAUGACCCGAACCAUUCCGGUAUCCGAAUGUAGCCCUCCAAUAUAUGUAUAUUUAUGUCUCAACCAUUCCGAGACUCCUCGUCAUCUCCGUGAUCACAUCCGAGACUCCGAAGAACCUUCGGUACAUCAAAUCACAUAACUCAUAAUACAUAUUAUCAUCGAACGUUAAGCAUGCGGACCCUACAGGUUCGAGAACUAUGUAGACAUGACCGAGACAGAUCUCUGGUCAAUAACCAAUAGCGGAACCUGGAUGCUCAUAUUGGUUCCUCCAUAUUCUACGAAGAUCUUUAUCGGUCAAACCGCACAACAACAUACUUUGUUCCCUUUGUCAUCGGUAUGUUACUUGCCUGAGAUUCGAUUGUCGGUAUCAUCAUAGCUAGUUCAAUCUCGUCACCAGCAAGUCUCUUUACUCUUUUCAUAAUGCAUCAUCCCGUGACUAACUCAUUAGUCACACUACUUGCAAGGCUCAUAGUGAUGUGCAUUACCGAGAGGGCCCAGAGAUACCUAUUCAAUACACAGAGUGACAAAUCCUAAUCUCGAUCUGUGCCAACUCAAUAAACACCAUCGGCGACACCUGUAGAGCAUCUUUAUAAUCACCCAGUUACAUUGUGACGUUUGAUAGUACACAAGGUGUUCCUCCGGUAUUCGGGAAUUGCAUAAUCUCAUAGUCUGAGGAACAUGUAUAAGUCAUGAAGAAAGCAAUAGCAAUAAAACUAAAAGAUCAUAGUGCUAAGCUAAUGGAUGGGUCUUGUCCAUCACAUCAUUCUCUAAUUAUGUGAUCAUGUUCAUCAAAUGAUAACACAUGUCUAUGGCUAGGAAACUUAACCAUCUUUGAUUAACGAGCUAGUCAAGUAGAGGCAUACUAGGGACACUUUGUUUGUCUAUGUAUUCACACAUGUACUAAGUUCCUGGUUAAUACAAUUCUAGCAUGAAUAAUAAACACUUAUCAUGAUAUAAGGAAAUAUAAAAAACAACUUUAUUAUUGCCUCUAUGGCAUAUUUCCUUCACAAAGUUGUGCAUUGUGUAUGCAAACAUCAUACACCACCUCCAUAUACAUAUGUUUGGCCCACAUGCAGGCAGUGGUUGUCCUCUGACACUAACUCACGUGGUUAUUGGUGAUGCUUCCAUCUGUGGGGCCAUGUGGUCCAUCACUUUCACCGACAGCGAGAGAGGUUAAUUUGACCGAGGAGGAUUCUUUUUGGUUUGUGUUACGGUAGGUCAUGAUGACAUUACAUGGUAUAGUUUGAGUGCAAGUGUACGCAUGAAUCCCUCCCACCAGAUCAAAGUGGGGGAGGGGACUAGCACACUACACAUUGUAAACAUCUCUCUGUUUGGGGACUUUAAGUUUUUUGGAGUAGAUGCCACGUCAAAGUUGUGCAUUGUGUAUCAUACAACACCUCCAUAUACUUAUAUUUGGCCCACACGCAGGCGGUGGUUUUCCUAUGACACUCGCUCACACGGUUAUCGGUGACGCUUCCAUCCGUGGGGCCGUGUAGUCCAGCACUUUGACCGACAGCGAGGGCGGUCAAUUUGACUCAGGAGGAUUCUUUUUGGUUUGUGUUAUAGUAGGUCAUGGUGAGAUUACAUAGUAUAGUUUGAGCGCAUGUGUACACAUGAAUCCCUCUGACCAGAUCGAAGUGGGGGGAGGGGACCAACACACUACGCAUCGUGAACCUCGCUCCGUGUGGGGACUUUACGGUUUCCGAGGUAGGUGCCACGUCAAUGUUGUGCAUUUGGUAUUCAAACAUCACAUAACACCUCCAUACAUAUGUUUCAGAAACAUGCAUGCGGUGGUUGUCUUCAAACACUCCCUCGCAUGGUUAUCGCAGGCAAGCCCAUUCGUGGGCCAGAUAGACGUCCAUCACUUCGAUCGACAGCAGAAGAGGUUACCAAGGUGGACUCUUCUUGGUUCAUUUUAUGGUAGUUCAUGAUUUUAGACCAUAAUUUGAAUGCAGGCAUACAUAUGCAUGAAUCCCUGACACUGGCUCGAAGUGGGGGACCAGCAUAGUACACUUCGUGAACCCUCGCUCCAUGUGGGGACUUUUUGGUUCCAAAGCAAGUACCACAUAAAAGUUGUGCAUUGGGUAUUCAAACACCACACAACACUUCCAUACAUACAUUUGGGCCACAUGCAGGUGGUGGUUGUCUUUGGACACUCCCUCGCGUGGUUAUCGGCACCACGCCCAUCUGUGGGCCCACGUGGAAAUCCAUCACUUUGACCGACAACGAGAGAGCUUUAACCAAGGUUCAUUCUUCUUCCUCCGUGUUACAAUAGGUCUUGGUGAGAUGCCCUGAUACGUCUCCAACGUAUCUAUCACUUUUUAUUGUUCCAUGCUAUUAUAUUAUCUGUUUUGGAUGUUUUAUAUGCAUUAAUAUGAUACUUUAUAUUAUUUUUGGGACUAACCUAUCAACCUAGAGCCCAGUAUCAGUUCCUACUUUUUUUUCCCUUGUUUUUGAGUUUCGCAGAAAGGGAAUACCAAACAGAGUCCAAAUGGAAUAAAACCUGCGCGUUGAUUUUUCUUCGACCAGAAGACAACCAGGAGACUUGGAGACAAAGUCGAAGAAUCCACGAGGCAGCCACAAGGACGGAGGGCGCGCCAGGGGGUAGGGCGCGCCCCCACCCUUGUGGGGCCCUCGUGCACUCCCUGACCGAAUUUCUGCGCCUAUAUAUACCCAUAUAUCCCCCAAACAAACAGGGGCAUCCACGAAAACACUUAUCCACCACUGCAACCUACUGUACCCGUGACAUCCCAUCUAGGGAUCUUUUUCGGCACCCUGUCAAAGGGGAAUUCGAUCAUGGAGGGCUUCUACAUAAACUCUAUUGCCCUUCCGAUGAAGCGUGAGUAGUUUACCACAGACCUACGGGUCCAUAGCUAGUAGCUAUAUGGCUUCUUCUCUCUCUUUGAUUCUCAAUGCCGUGUUCUUCUCGCUGUUCUUGGAGACCUAUUCGAUGUAAUACUCUUUUGCAGUGUGUUUGCCAAGAUCCGACGAAUUGUGGAUUUAUGAUUAGCUUAUCUAUGAAUAUUAUUUGAAUCUCCUCUGAAUUCUUUUAUGCAUGAUUUGAUAUCUUUGUAAUUCUCUUUGAACUACCGGUUUGGUUUGGCCAACUAGAUUGGUUUUUCUUGCAAUGGGACAAGUGCUUAGUUUUCACUGGUACGCGUCGGUCCUAUACAAACGGUUUUUAACCCCUUUCCGCGACGGCAUUUGGAACCGUCGCCAAGUGAAUGUGGGUGAUAGGGGGGUCCUUCCCACACGACCUAGAAACCGUCGGGAUAUGCCCUCCUGGCACACAUGCUCGGCAAAAUGAGGUCAUGUGCGACCCGCAAGCGCUCAAAUAUGGAAAUACGUACAGUAGAGCUAAAAUACAAUUAUAUGGCGAAAUUGUUUCCGGUCGCAAGUAUGUCCCACACAGUCAGUCCCCGCUAAAUGUUUCUGUUCGUAUGUACAUCCCACACAGUCGCUCCAAGGAAAACGUUUCUGUUCAUAGGUACAUCACACACAAUUUUUCUCGCUAAAUCGUUUGCUUUAUUGAAUGCAUCACACACGGUCCAUAGAAGAAACUGUGUGGCAAAGGCUGUCCAUCACACAGUUUUUAUGUGGUAAACGUUUGCGCAAGGUGGCCUAACGCAAACAGUUUUCAAGAGAAAGUCGUGUGUGAUUGUUCAUUGAUCCAACACGGUUUAUUCCUAAAAACUGUGUGCGUUGCCUGAGGUCAUCUACCACAGUAUUUUUUCAACAACCAUUUGCAAUAGCAAAACCCAAUUAGCAGGCUAAUUAUUCGAUUAUUCAUAAUCCAUUCAUUAAUCCAAUUGGGAUUUCAUAUUAAGCACACAAUAUAUUUCAUUUUCGUAAUUGAAAUACAUCAGAGUACAACAUCAUAUAGCUUCAGCACUCAGCUACCCCAUUACACAACUACACCAGGACUAAGUUUCACAUGCAACAUCUAUAACCUUUCGAAAUUAGCAUCAUAGACGGUACAUAAAUAGAUGUAUCUCAUCUAGAAAACUGCUAAAGCAGAAGGCGAAUAUUGAGCCUUCAUUGAUGUUGAAGGUCUUUGUAACUUUAGGCCAGUGCCUGUGGAUGAUUGACCGUCCAUCCUUCAUCCUCUUCCGGAACACUUCAAUAUUGAACCGUGGGUGUUGUAUGAAUACCUUCCUCGCCUCCUGACCAUAUAGGUGGUUUGAGAGGUAAUCAUCACUGAACUACUUUGGAAAGGCCUAAAAACUUGGAUGUGCAUAAACAUCUUAUCUAUAUUGGAAAUGGGGCAAAGGAAUAGAAAAGGCAAGGUAUAAUAGUUAGUACCAUCAUGUAGUGAACUGAAGUCUUUCUCAUUGUGCAGACAAAGAUCUUGUUGUUUUUUUGUCGCUAAUUUAUUUAUCCUAACAAUCUUUCUGACUUUCUUGACUUGACUGAUAUUCAUGGACAACUCAUUUCCCCAUAUGCAAAAAGGGUCAAACAGUGGGUCAACACCUCUGACAGCAGGACCUACAUGUGCAAGACCAUUUGUUAAAAACCUAAAUAUUAGAAUGGUUCCUGCAAUUGCCCAAUAAUGUGCUAUUAGACAACGGACCAUGCACGUGCUAACCUCGAUCGUAAACCUCAGUGCUUCCCAUUGUUUCCCUGCAACACAUAUAAGGUAGUUAGUCAUCAGGUUAAGUAAGAGUUUGCAUGCUAUCAGUAAAAUAUGUUGAUGAAAAAUAAGCACAUUGCAGAUUCAUCGGAUUAAUUCAAGCCACAUGGAAAACCCAUUUAUCCAAACCAAGCAUGAUUAAGAACUAGGAAAUAUAGCACUUUUAUAUGUUUCUCAUGUAUUAAGUGCAGCAAAAUUCGAUUUAUUUCUCACAUGGUAUACAAUAAAAGAAUGCACCCACAACAAUUGAACAUCGCAUUGCAGAAUUGAACCAAACAACCAACCGCGUUCCGUCGUCGGUGCGCGAGGCGUCGACGGUGGCCUCGACGGCGAGGUGCUCCUCCAAGAUCUGGGGGCCGACACGAAUGGCAGCCAUCGCGAGCUCAUUCGCGCGAGUGGCCACGAUUUGCUUCUCCGCUGCCAAAUGGUCCUUGGGAUCCUGGCUAUACUGUGUGCACCAUGGCUUAGGGCGGCGCUUAUCUGGUGGAGGGGUCAGUGAUUUGUGUGGAAGGUGUCGCGCCGGUGGUCGGGGCAUGUGGGAUGUGGAAGGAGAAGGAGGAUGGGGUUCGGGUGUGGAUUACCUGCCUGGAUAGGCGAGGCCGAGCAGCAUGGAGGAGGGUCACCGGCGAGGAGGCGGCGCUACAAACAAGGAGUGAAGGUUUCAACUUGGAAAGGAAGGCGGAAACAGGGACAAUGUGGCUUUUGGUAAAGGGGGUAAAUAUUUCCGCGGAAGCCGAAAAUUUGGAAUUGCUUCUGCGAAAAAACUGGCGCGCAAAGUGUCAUCAGACACGGCCCCUUAUUCAGAACUGUGUACGCUAUGUGAACAUCACAAAUGAUUCAGAUAGCUUAACCCAUGUGUGUUGAGUUUGAACAUCAAAAAUUUUGGUUCUAAUUUCCCUCGUUACAGUGGUCAUCCACGUCAUUGCAUAAUUUGGGUACACAAAGGAGACUAACUUCUUAAUCAAGCAAGUUCAACAAUUUAAUAGAGCUAGCUGACCUAAACAUUAAUCUAACAAAUUAAAGAUCGGCGCUCUUAAUUAAACAAAACAAAGAGUACUACUACGGUUGGUGCUCGUCGAUCUCCGCCACCGCCUCCAUGUCCAGCUCGCGCCCGAUGGUCUCAUGGGGAAGGGGCUCCAUGGCAUCAAUUGCACCAUACUCGACAAGCAUCUCGCCAUCCGCGUCUGCCAUAUCUUUGGAAUAGGCCGCCACGAGAUGGGCGUGGGCGGCCGUGAUCUGGGCUCUGGCGGGCUCCGUCAUGGCAAGGUAUGCCGAACAAGAACGGACGGCUGCUCGAACUCUCUCGGCGGUUGGCAACUCUUCGGUCGUGGGUUGCCGACCGUUGUCGGAGAAGCUUCGUUCGAUUUGUGCGGUGACCGCCAUGGUCUAUGCAUGGACGGCCUCGACAUGAUAGUGGGCGGCCUCCAUCAGGGCUAAGGCCGCCGCUGCGGAACGGACAGCUGUUGUGCCACUCUCGCUAGUUGUUAUCCCCGAGGCAGAUGAUGCUACCGCAGCUUGAGAAGCAACAGUGGCCGUUUGGGCUGCCUUGGCCGCCCGGACGCAAACUCCGGUCACCCUCACGAUGCUUGUUAGCAUGCGCCUGGCGGCUGCGGCCGCGCUCUCGUCGGAGUGGGCCACCGAAGUUGCCCUCACGACGUGGGUCCACGUCCCCAUCUUUCACCAGCGAUGAAUGAACAGUGAAAUGAUAUUUGGGGAGUGAGCUAGUGUGCUUGACAUGCCAGCUGUGGACUGUAGCCGAUGCACAUUCUCGCGUAAGCCAUAGGCGUACUAUACACCGAUGGUGCUCCAAGAUAUUUUGUGUUGCAUCUCACACGGUUGGUGAUAAUAAACUGUGUGCAAUCUACUUUAUUUAUCAUCUUGAUUUGAAUUACAUAAUGGGGUCACAACUACAAAGGAUGGUGUUUGAAUUGCUAGAACUUUUAUCUGUAGUGAACAUGCAACUAUAGGUGUGUCUUCAAAUAAAUGGAAUUAUUCAGGGUUCAUUUGGACGUUUUUAUACAUUAACUUGGUUUUGUAGGCAUUUCAGGUGCAUAAUUCUAAUUUGAACUACAUGCACAUGCUCCAGUGCAUAUAAACGGGUUGAAAAAUCAAAUAUGUGUCAUUGGUUGCAUGCCUAGGUCCCAUGUAAGAAAUGGGAAUGGAUGUCACACACCCUGCCACCAUCACUCGGCCGCAAACAUUUAGAUACCUGAUUUUUAAAUUCUAGUAAAUCCAAAACUCAUUUGAAAUUCAUGAAACUUGGCAUGCUAUCAUGGAGCGGCAUCAACUUGCCGUGGUAAAAAUUUUGUCCCAUUUGGGGCGGGUUUGGGUAUAAGCUUCUCACAAACCAGAGCUUCUCACAACAAGCGUGAUGGUUUCGGUAGGGAACGUGCCACCUUUGGGGACGAAAUGAUAUCCAUUGCCUCUUUGUAACAUCCCAGAUUUUCAAUUUGGAAUGUUAUACACUAGAUCAUCAUGCAUAUCAUAUUUUCUUCCAUUUUGGUUGAUCCUAGAAAUUUCACGCAACUCAAGGACCCAUGGAGAGAGUUGGAGAUUUCAUUAUUUUCAUAUUUGAGUUUUCUCAAAUUUUGAAAAGAUGAUCAUUUGAUUUAUUUAUUUCAUCUUCAAUUAUUUUUCCAAUGUCAAAUAUAAGAGAGGGAAUAAUAUGACUUUCCCAAAUUGAGGAAAAAUGAAGAUUUAAUAAAUAGAUCAAAUUUUGUUUGCCGGAGUUUUAUUUGCAUUUUAUUUGGAUAGGGAAAAAUGCGCGUUUUUGAAAAUUGCAUUUUAGGUCCGGAGAAAAGUUCAUUUUGUUCGGCUCAUUUUUAGGAGUCGGGGAAAAUUUACUUUAGAUUUUUCGGAGUUCGUUUAGAUCUCUUUUUGUUUUUUUUUGCGUGCUGAACCGUUUAAAAAAAGACUUACCGCACGCCAGUCGGGCCAAGGCCCAGGCCGGCCACAGCCCCAGCCGCCGCUGCGCCCCUGCGCCCAGGCGCGCUAGCGCAAGGCCAGGAGGCCGCCGCCUCGCCUCUUGCUUCUACCGAAUCCUAGUAGGAUUCUUAGCCUUUUUCCUUUAUUCCGUUUUUCUUUUUCAUCUAGGAUUCCUAUUCCUAGUCUAAUUCCUUGCCCCUACCCGAAGUCUCCUCUCCCCUCCCCAAUAUAAAUACCCAAGCACCCCCCCUCUAAAUCAUCAAACCCAAAGCCUAGAGCUCCACCCCACGCCGCGUCCCACACCCCACGCCGCGCCGCGCCGCCACCCCACACCCGUCGCCGCCGCCUUUAGCCGCCGCCGCCGCACCUAGCCGCCGCCGCCGCCCUACGCCGCCGCCGCCGGAGCCCCUCGCCGGAGACGUCGCCGGAGGUUGCCCCGCAUCUCUUUUCCUCGGAUCAUUUUCUUCUAAUCGUUCUGAUUCUUUUCUUCUCUUCCGAUUCGUUUUCUUCUCUGAUUUAGUUGCCUUUGGACCGUUUGCCGGACCGUUCGUCCUAACGAACGUGAUCACCAGAUUCUUCUAGUUUAACGAACGUCCGUUCGUUUAAUCGUUCUUCUUUUUUCUUUUCGUCGGAUUUAUUCCGCGAUCGUGAUCUCAGAUCCGAUCUUCAUUCUACUCUUUCUUCUCGCUCGUUUAUCGGAAUCAGGUGAUUCAAGCGCCUGGAGUUUCGUUUUGAAACCGCCGUUCCGUCUAAUCAACUUAAACAAGUUUUUUUCCCCGGUAAAAUUUGACCUAGUUUCAACUUGCUAGAACCGAGUUGUUUUCUUUCGCCGUUUGUUUCUUUGUUCGGUUCUUUCUUUCUGUGCAACCGGAGUUCUUAAGUUGAACUACCUGGUUCGUUCUCUUGUUCGAGUUUUAGCUGUGCAUUAGAUGAGUACUUAUUGUAUGCUUGUUGUUUGUCUGCGAUAGAUUACCCGGAUUGCGCCGCCUGUUACUUCGAAACCCUAGGACUCGCGGAUCAUCAGCAAGGCAAGUAACACUUUGAUCAUACCUUUUCUACAACCCAUGUUUUGUUGCAUUAGAUCAAUCCUCUCACAUUGCAUGAUUAGGAUCUAAUUAAAUUGUGGGAUGGGAAGUAGAUGAGGUAGUACCUGUUACCUGUAUUAUUAUCAAACCCUUGGGAGUUACUUCUACGUUUGCUUAUUACGCCAUGCUAUGCUAGUAGACGUGGAUUUGGGUGAGUGAUAUCCAUGACAGAUGUGAGUUUAUUAAUUUUUAAUGGUUUAUCUAAGGUGGCAACUUAAACACACAUCUGGGUGGAUUGAGGCACCUGAUGUCUAUCAGGACUUGCCUGUUUUUUUUUCGGACCGCCACCCAGGCUCAAAGGGAUCAUAAGAUCUUUCAUGCUAGAAACUUUCAUGUGCAGCCACAUGCCAUUAUGGGCUCUGGCAUAGUUGACUAAGUUGUGCGAACUCUUACGGGGUGGACUGGCAGAUGUAGGGGUUAUAGGUGGUACGGUCUACCCCACAUGUAAGGUGCUAGCGCUUCUGAAAGACUAUGUCUCGGUCAUCCGCUUCUCAAACACCAUGUAGUGCGAGAAAACAAAUGGAGGCGAUCGAGUCUUGUGGGAAAAGUGCGCAAACCUCUGCAGAGUGUACAAACUAAUCAUGAUUAGCCGUGUCCCUGGUUAUGGACAACUUGAGUAUCUAGUACUUGAAUAUCAUGUGAAUCUCAUCAUGUUACUUCUAAUUAAUAUUGUUGGGUUUUAAUUAUUUUUAGUUGGGAUUGAGAAUGCUGUCAACCAUUCUCAAUGUUUCACAACCACCAUGAUAGUUAAAUAAAUUUAUUCCUUUGCCGUAGGGAAAAAUUGGCUUUACGCAAAACUGUAACCAUAGAGCUUUCCACCAGCCAAACAUGCAUAUAGUAUAGCUGUUUCAUUCCAUUACUCUCUAUGUGUUACAUUGCCAGCAUAUUCCAUGUGCUGACCCGUUUUCGGGCUGCAACGUUAAUGUUGCAGACUUUUCAGACGACGAUUGAGGUGUUUUUAGGUCGUGGUUCUAUACUUAGUGAUGCUGCUGGAGUUGAUGGACCCAUUUAUCUUCCAAGUCUUCCGCUGUUAUCUUUAUAAUAUGGCCUUAAGCCAUAUUUAUUGUAAUAAGUUCUUUUUGAGCCAUCGAUGUAAUAAGUGUGUGAUUGCAACUCUGCUGUAAAGCCUCGAUGUACUGUGUGGUGUCAGCAUUACUGAUCCAGGGAUGACACCGUAGCACAGUAGACGUGAUCCAUUCGGGUCAGGUUGCUACACUCUUAUUGCUUUCAAAAAUUUCCAGUAUCAACCUAGAACAACAGGAGUGUUGUGUUUAAUUUUGGAAUUUUUCGGGGUUCAUUUGGACAUUUUUAUACAUUAACUGGGUUUCCCAGGCAUUUUAUGCGCAUAAUUCAAAUUUGAACUACAUGCACAUUCUCCAGUGCAUAUAAACUAGUUGAAAAAUCAAAUCUGUGUCCUUGGUUGCAUGCUUAGGUCUCAUGCAAGAAAUGGGAAUGAAUUUUGAACACCCUGCCAUCGUCAGUCGGCCGCAAACAUUGAUAUACCUGGUUUUUAAAUUCUAGUAAAUCCAAAACUCAUCUAAAAUUCAUGAAACUUGGCAUGCUAUCAUGGAGCGGUAUCAACAUGCUGUGGUAAAAAAUUUGUCCCGUUUGGGGCAGGUUUGGGUAUAAGCUUCUCACAAACCUUAGCUUCUCAUAACAAGCGCGAUGGUUUCGAUAGGGAAUGUGCCACCUUUGGGGACGAAAUGAUAUCCGUUGCCUCUUAUUGCUUUCAAUUUUUUUCGAGUGUCAACAUAGAACAAAAGGAGUGGUGUGUUCAAUUUUAGAAUUUUUUGGGGUCCGUUUGGACAUUUUUAUACAUUAACUGGGUUUUCCAGACAUUUUAUGUGCAUAAUUCAAAUUUGAACUACAUGCACAUUCUCACGUGCAUAUAAACUGGUUGAAAAAUUAAAUAUGUGUCCUUGGUUGCAUGCUUAUGUCCCAUGCAAGAAAUGGGAAUUAAUUUCAAACACCCUGCCACCAUCACUUGGCCGCAAACUUUGAGAUACCUGGUUUCUAAAUUCUAGUAAAUCCAAAACUCCUCUGAAAUUCAUGAAACUUGGCAUGCUAUCAUGGAGCGGGAUCAACAUGUCGUGGUAAACAAUUUGUCCCAUUUGGGGCAGGUUUGGGUAUAAGCUUCUCACAAAGCUUAGCUUCUCACAAGUGUGAUGGUUUCGGUAGGGAACGUGUCACCUUUGGGCACGAAACAAUAUAUGUUGCCUCUUAUUGCUUUGAAAAAAUUUCUAGUGUCAACAUAGAACAACACGAGUGUUGUGUUUACUUUUGGACAUUUUCAGGGUUCGUUUGGACAUUUUUAUACAUUAACUGUGUUUUCUAGGCUUUUCAUGUGCAUACUUCAAAUUUGAACUACAUGCACAAGCUCCAGUGCAUAUAAAUUGGUUGAAAAUUCAAAUCUGUGUCCUUCGGGGCAUGCUUAGGUCCCAUGCAAGAAAUGGGAAUGAAUUUCAGACACCAAGGCACUGUUGAUUGCUGGCAAAACACUAAGAUACAUGGUUUUUAAAUUCUAGUAAAUCCAAAACUCGUCUGAAAUUCAUGAAACUUGGCAUGCUAUCAUGUAGCGGCAUCAACAUGCCGUGGUAAAAAAUUUGUCCCAUUUGGGACAGGUUUGGGUAUAAGCUUCACACAAACCUUAGCUUCUCACAACAAGUGUGAUGGUUUCGAUAGGGAGCGUGCCACCUUUGGGGACGAAACAAUAUCCGUUGCCUCUUAUUGCUUUCAAAAAAAAUUUAGUGUCAACAUAGAACAACAGGAGUGUUGUGCUUACUUUUGGAAUUUUUCGGGGUUUGUUUGGACAUUUUUAUACAUUAACUGGGUUUUCUAGGCAUUUCAUGUGCAUAAUUCAAAUUUGAACCACAUGCACAAGCUACCAUGCAUAUAAAUUGGUUGAAAAAACAAAUUUGUGUCCUUCGGGGCAUGCUUAGGUCCCAUGCAAGAAAUGGGAAUGAAUUUCAAACAGCAGGGCACUGUUGAUUGCCGGCCAAACAUUGGGAUACUUUGUUUCUAAAUUCUAGUAAAUACAAAACUCGUCUGAAAUUCAUGAAACUUGGCAUGCUGUAAUGGAAUGGCACCCGACAUGAUGCGGUAUUUUUUGUGUCCAUUUUGAAAGAAGGCGCACUCAAAUAACAGCCAACAAAGGCAUUUUGAAACAAAUAGAUGCCACUGUAACAUCUCAAACGUUUUGUAUAAUUUAAUUUGUGUGCGUUUUGUUAACCAUUCACGUGACGCCACGCCUCACUCUUUUAAUGGCUAGGAGGUGCCGUGCGGACAGGUGCUUGAUUGCUUGACUAAUCGGAAGGCGUGCUGACAGCUUCCCCAGGAAGCCAAGAGAAAAUGUGCCGAGCAGGAUUUCUGCAGCUCUUGAUUGCAGACGUUUUACAUAGAGCAUUCGUAUGCAAAGUGAGGGCUAUGGUCUUCCCCCUUAAAUCGAGGGAAAAUCCGCAGUGGAAGAUUUGUGCAUCCCUUCAAUGCAAACGGUUGUUUUGGAUGACCCGUAUGCAACCACGUACAAACAAUUUGGUUAGAUUUGCAUCUGUCAUAUUGGGUAUGUUGCCAUUUGUCAAACUGGAAAGAUUGACAUUUGUUGAUCUAGUAACAUUGCCAUUUGUCAAUCCUUGUAACACUACGAUUUGUCAAAAUAUGCAGCUAGAAAUCACUAGCACUAUCUAAUUUUUGCAACUAAAAUUCAGUAAUUAAGCAUAUAUUUCAUUCAUAGAUUAAGUAGACGUUCUUAAUUUAUACAAACAAUUCAACUCGACAGCUAAACCGACCAAGCUUUUCCCCAAUUGUUGCCAACCACGUACUGAAAUAGCUAGUUCAACUAUAUAUACUAGCUAAUUUUAAGUACAUUUUACAGUUCGACCACACAUCUAUAGUCAGAUGAACUGAACAAAAUAGCCCCUAAAUACUACUACUAUCACGGAGAGGCUUUGUGCUACUUCCAGCAGCUUCUUCUCUGCCGAGCGCGGUAAGAGGCAAAGGAGGAGGAGGAGCCUACCGACGAGCUGGAUAAAUGCAAUACGGUGCCUGCCGCUGCUGCACGUUCAGCAACGCUCGCCAGCUCGAACGCGCACUGCCGCUCCAGGUGAUCCCUCUCGAAGCGGCCGGACUGCUUGUAGAUCUCCUGAUUCCUCGCCUCUGCAUUGGCGUGUGCUGCGGCCACGGCUACGGUAAGGCUCUUUGCAUGCUUGACGAGGCGCUCCUCCUCCUCCCGUAGGAACUCGAUGUAGCGUGCAAGGUCGUUGAUGCACGUGCAGGCCUCCACCUCCGCCUCCCUCCUUUAGGCGGCGGUGGCGGAGCGGGUGAUGAUCCCGGGGGUCGACGGUGGGCUGGCGGCCGAUGAUGGGGUGGUGGCCACGACCACCACCUCCCGCCUUCGGGCCGCGAUGGAGGAGCUGGUGAUGGCCACGGUGGCAGCAACAGGGUGGAGGCCACGACGGACACAUCCCGGCUUCGGGCCGCGGCAACGGAGCAGGAGAUGGCCCUAGCUUUCGACGGUAGUGUGGCGGCAACGGCGGCUGGCAACGGCUGCCGAUGGGCAACGGUGGCGAAGCAUGUGGUGGGUGUUCCGCGAUAUAUACAACCAGUCUAUUCUGCUAACACUUCUGCACUACACGCUCAAGUAAGUGCACGUCAUUGUUUGAACCAAGUGUGCUGCAGUACUCACGAGAGUGAACUUCCCGUCGCAAAAAAAUUGCACGCCGUGUUUUUCGGGUACUGUUUUCGCUCUAAUUUUUUAACCGUUAAUCAGAACGAGGCGUAUAAUAUACCGUUGGAAAGCUAUGGAUUAGGCGCAACUUCGACAUGUUGAACACUUUUCAAGAUUCCUCGCAGUUUAAGAGCAGUUUUGAAAAUGGUGCAGCCCACAACGAGUGGCAGCGAGCGUAUUUUUGUGAUUUUUUAUAAACCGCUCAUCGGAAUAAAGAAAAUGAUACGCCUUUGGAAAGAUAUCAUCGAGGCGCAUCUUUUUCAUAUCUAUUAUUUUCUCUAAUCCAUUGCGGUUUAAGAGCAGUUUCAAAUUUACUAAAUCGCGGAAUUAUAUUUUUUCGAAAUUUUUACAAUUUUCGGUACUGUUUUUGCUCUAGUUUUUGAACCGUUUGUCGAAAUGAGGCGUGUAAUACGUCGUUGGAAAGCUAUGGACAAGGCGCAACUUUCAUAUUUUGAAAUGUUUUUGAGAUUCCUUACGGUUUUAAGUUAAUUUUUAAAAUGGUGUGGCGGACGACGAGUGGCAGCGGCCGUUUUUCACGAAAUUUUUACAAACCGCUGGUCAGAAUGAUUCAAACGAUACACCGUUGGAAAGAUAUCGACGAGGCGCAACCUUUUCAUGUACAACACUCUUCGUCUGACUGAAAACCGCACUCCAUCGGAUGAAAAACCGCACUGCAUCACAGGGGUAAGAGAACGACAUGGUUUCUUUUUUGUGGGACGUAAAUUUUUUAAGACGAGGAAGAAAACCGCACUUUUUUUAGACUGAAAACUGCACUGCAUCAGACAAUCAAGCGCACUACAUUUUUUUAAUGCAUUUUUGUUUCAAAUGUAGUGUACUAAAAAGUCCUUCAUAUUGAACUUCUUUCAAGAUAAAAGUGGACCACAUUUGCAUGUUUUUUAAAUGCAAUUUUAGACCAAAGUGCACCGCAUUGGGAUUUUUUAAAAAAUUCAUUUUUGUUUUAUAUGAAGUGUAUCGAAAAGUUCUUCGUAGUGGACUUUUUUGCAAGACCAAAGCGCACUGCAUUUGCAUUUUUAAAUGCAUUUUUCUUCGUAGUGGACUUUUUUACAAGACCAAAGUGCACUGCCUUUGCAUGUUUUAAAUGCAUUUUUGUUCUAAAUGGUGUACAAUUCCUCCAAAAAUAAUAAAAAGUGAACACCUCUAUUAAUUUUUUACUAAGUGAACUCCUUUUUUUUGCAAAGUGCACCGCAAAAGUUUCUUAAUGAGCUGCAUCGAUUUUAAUAAAUUAUACACCAUGUCCUUAUACAUUUUUUACAAACUCAACUCCUUUGUUUUGCAAAGUGCACCGCAAAGGUUAACCACCGUGUUCAUGUUUUGUCUAAACUCCCUUCCCCUUCUCAGGUGACAACACUACCCGGUCUGAAGAACUCCUUGUAUUAUUACCUAUUCUCCGAUAGCAAGAUGCAAUCAGUUCCAUUUGUUUCUAGUCUAGCUGUAGAAAACAUAGGCACAAAAAUUCUGGAUGAUGGCGUUAAUAGAGUAUGUGAGCAUCAAAUCUGAAAAACUAAAAGAUGGUAACUUUGGCAAGAAACAAAAUAGGAAGAUGUCCAAGGAGCUCACCCGAGACCGAGCUUUUGUUGUCGUCGUCCCGGAAUACACCUGCAAACUACGCGGAAAAGAGCACCAAGUUGCACC
rnacentral:lncRNA from 1 species